UUGGGGGCAGUUAUCUCCGAGAGCUGAAUGCGAGCGCGUUAGCGCGAAGCAGCUGAUACCACGCUUCCAAGAAAAACUUCGUGGGGAGACUGCAGGUCAUCCGUACCGUAAACCGACACAGGUGGGCGAGGAGAAAAUCCUAAGGCGCCUGAGAGAACUCUCCUCCAAGGAACUAGGCAAAUUGACACCGUAACUUCGGAAGAAGGUGUGCCCUAUGUAGGUGUAGCCGUACAGGCGAAGCCGAAUAGGGUUGCAAAGAAUAGGCGGUAGCGACUGUUUACCAAAAACACAGGACUCUGCGAAGGCACGAAGCCGACGUAUAGGGUCUGACUCCUGCCCGGUGCUGGAAGGUUAAGGGGAUCCGUCAGCGCAAGCGAAGCGGUGAUCCGAAGCCCCAGUAAACGGCGGCCGUAACAAUAACGGUCCUAAGGUAGCGAAAUUCCUUGUCGGGUAAGUUCCGACCUGCACGAAUGGAGUAACGACUUCCGCACUGUCUCGGAGAGGGACUCAGCGAAAUUGAAAUAGCUGUGCCGAUGCAGUUUACCCGUGGAAAGACGGAAAGACCCCGUGCACCUUUACUAUAACUUGACAGUGACACUAGGGAUUGACUGUGUAGAAUAGGUGGGAGCCUUUGAAGCCGGGCCGCUAGGUUCGGUGGAGGCAAAAGUGAAAUACCACCCUGUUGAUUUCUGGUGUCUAACCUCGUCCCCUCAUCGGGGACAGGGACACUGUCUGGUGGGUAGUUUGACUGGGGCGGUCGCCUCCCAAAGAGUAACGGAGGCGCGCGAUGGUUCCCUCAGCCUGAUUGGAAACCAGGCGACGAGUGCAAUGGCAUAAGGGAGCUUGACUGCAAGAGAGACAUCUCGAGCAGGUGCGAAAGCAGGUCAUAGUGAUCCGGUGGUCCUGAAUGGAAGGGCCAUCGCUCAACGGAUAAAAGGUACGCCGGGGAUAACAGGCUUAUCUCCUCCAAGAGUUCACAUCGACGAGGAGGUUUGGCACCUCGAUGUCGGCUCAUCGCAUCCUGGGGCUGGAGCAGGUCCCAAGGGUUUGGCUGUUCGCCAAUUAAAGCGGUACGCGAGCUGGGUUCAAAACGUCGUGAGACAGUUUGGUCCCUAUCUUCCAUGGGCGUAGGAGGCUUGAGAGGCUCUGACCUUAGUACGAGAGGACCGGGUUGGAGACACCUCUGGUGUACCAGUUGUCAUGCCAGUGGCAUCGCUGGGUAGCCAUGUGUCGAUUGGAUAACCGCUGAAAGCAUCUAAGCGGGAAACCGACCUCAAGAAUUGGCCUCCCGGGGGCAACCCCCUGAAGACCCGUCGCAGACUACGACGUUGAUAGGCCGGAUGUGUAAGUGAA
rnacentral:rRNA from 1 species